rnacentral:lncRNA from 1 species
AUUCAAUCCUUAGAAUUUUCUUGAUGGAACCAGACACUGCCCUGACUGAGCUUUUUUACUAACACUUCAGUUUAAAUCACCAAGUUUUUCAUUUUUCACUUCUGAGUUUUUCUUAGUCAUUUGCAUGGUAAAGGCUUUGUUAUUAACAGUCUUGGUUAAAUUAUUAUUUUGUGAAGAGUUUUCAAGUUAAAAAUGUGUUUUUCAGAUCCGCCAAAAAAUGAUGGAUUAUUUUGCAAAGCAGUCUUGGAAAACAGCUCAACAACAUCUGACCAACAUGAACCAUCAGAUUCAGGAGUACAGGUCUGUACUAAAAGCCUUUUUUGCAGUCUUCUGAAUGCUAUAGUUUAAAAUUUUUUUUCAUUUUGUUUCCUUAAUAGGAUCAAAAAACUCGAUAAAUUCCAAUUCAUCAUCAUAGAGGAGCUGGAGAAUUUUGAAAAAGAUUCACAGUCUUUAAAAGAUUUGGAGAAGGAAUUUGUGGUUUGUGCUUUUAAGAAUUUUUUUAAAGAGCCACACUCAGGAAAACUUCUGUUAAUUUUGUUCUUUAGAAAAUUGUUUUAGGGGUGCCUGGGUGGCUCAGUCAGUGAAGCGUCUGACUUUGGCUCAGGUCAUGAUCUCAUGGAGCAUGAGUUCGGGCCCCGCACCGGGCUCUGUGCAGGCCUGCUUCGGAUUCUGUGUCUCCCAUUCACACUCUCUCUCUCUCUCUCAAAAAAUAAACAUUAAACAUUAAAAACAAUAGUUUUAGGUUUCAUAUACACACACUUAUAGACUGAAGCUUAUGAUGAGUACCUUUGAUAAUAUGGGGAAAACCCUGAGACAGUGUAUGACGUCUAGAAUAUGCUCAGCAUCUAGCCAAGUUUAUUUAAACUAGGAAUAGGAACAUAGGAAUUCUGCAAGUUUUAUUUUUUGUAUUUUUAAAUGUAGGAAUUGGGAGAGAAGAUAUUUCAGAAGUACAGUGCCUAUCAAAAAAGUGAGCUGCAGAGGUUGGUGUGGCAUUCUUAAUGACUAUGACCUAUAUACACUUUCAAUUUUUAAAUAUAAACGUAAUUGCAAUAUUCUAGCAAUUCAAAAGUGACUUCCUCUGCUAGGCUUCACCACUUGAAAGCGUCACUGGACAAAAAUGUCUUCUACAACACUGAUUACGAAGACGCUAUUUUUACAUCUGAGGUACAAGCUUUUUUACACUCCUAUAAUCGAUACGGUUUCGCUGUGAAAAUCUGACGGUAAACGUCAUGGAUGCAAUACUGCUUUACAGAUGUGCUCGAUGAAGGAGGACAUGAAGGUGCUGCAGGAACAGCUUCUGAAGGACACGGUGGGUAGGCUGCCCCCUGGGGUUCACGUGCUUCCGUCUCUUGUAGCGGCGACUUCUUCUACAGCCUUUUCUCCUGUGGGGAUGGAGAGAGGCUUUCAGCCCAGUGGGUUUAGUUCUUUAAACUGGAAUAAUGGGAGCAAGUCUAGAGUACGAUAUUAAUGGAGGUGACUUAAAUGAGUCCCUCCUAAGGGAGUAUCAGUUCAGAAAUGUUUACAUGAGCUAAAAGAGUAACUUCUUUGUUCUGUACCCAAGCACUGUACCCGGCAGCAGGCCUGUGCCUUCUGAAGACGGUGUGCCAGGACAGAGCUACCAGAAUCGCUGUCUGCUUGGACAGCAGGACUCCAUUAACUUAGAUUGCAGGAUGAAAGUAGUGGACUUUGAUCAAAGGUCUAGUAGCCCAGCAGCUGCAUUCUGGGGGCAAAGACCCUUGGUGGGGAGGGGAGGGGUCCAAAGGCACUGCUCUCAACGAUGGCAUUUUCCAUGUAGACUUGAAGACUUCCUGUACACAGAGCACUAGUGUACUUGCUCCCUUAAUAGAACCUCAGCAGACUGUUGCGGCAAAGACGGUUUGGAGGGGAGCAGUCUAGAAAGAAAUGUCAACAGCAAUUUGGGCUUUAAAAGACCGGAUCUCUACAUUGAGCGCCUAGAAUAUCCGUGUUGAGCCCUGAACUCUGGAGACACCUAGGAAUAGAUCCUGGGGGGCUAGAUAGAAUGAGCGCUGAUACAAAAUACCUUUAGGAAAGGGGUUGUUUUGAAAAGAAUCCCUAAUAACAGCUAGCUUUUUUCUUUCCGUUUGAUGGUUUUAUAGUGAUCAUUUAAAAUCUAAGUGUGAUUUUUUUCCCCCCUGGCUAUAGCAAGAAGAGGAGCUUCUCAACGUACGCAGAGGACUGAUGUCAUUAUUCAUGGCUCAUGAAAGAAACGUUCGUGUGUGAUGUCUGGGUGUUAGCGAUUAGUUGUAGCCACUUACCCCUUUUUGUGUAUACCAGGAAAUCCCACGGUAGCUCUACCGAGAGAAAAACAGACGUCACCCAGGCAAGAGUACUUUUGUAGGAGCCUCCAAAUCCAAAGAAAUUGUUGUCUUAUGGAUGAGAAAGAACCACUAUAACAUGACUCCAGCCUCAAAAGACCUUUGUAUAGUACUGUUCUUUUUUUAGGGAAAAAUUUUGGGAAAACCAAAUAGUGAAAGGAAUUUUGCUUGUUUCUGUAGGACUAUUUAUGUUGGACAAAUCUUACUGAGUUAACUAUACUCACAAAACUAGUUUCUUUAAUAAACUAAAACUUACCAUAGAAAAUGUACUUUUAAAUGAAUACAGUUUGGACUAAAUAUAAGGUAUUACUAGUUCGGAGUAUACUACAUGCAACAAAAACUUGGCCCUGCUGAGAAGGGGGAGAAGCCUCUGAUUUCAGAUGCUUACCGGAGUGAGAGUCAGUACUUCUGGCCCACUGCUGGAGAGUGUAUUUAUUCAGUUAUGGCACCUGUAUUAGAAGGCAUUAAACAGCCUAUAAGAGUUCCUGUAUUUUCUAAAUAUUUUAAUUCCAGGUAGAUACCUUAACUCCUAAGCAUGCUCUUUUGACAAGUACUUUUUAAGCUCCUACUAUUCACUGUAAUAUUUUGCUAGAAUAUAAAAAUGCACUUAAUAUAUUAAAGUUGAAAUAAAUGCUGUGCCACUUGGA